rnacentral:misc_RNA from 1 species
UUUCCGUAGGUGAACCUGCGGAAGGAUCAUUACUGAAGUGAGUCUUCAUCAUUGAAGCUUCUUCCCAUUGUGCUGGCUUUGACCGUAUGUAAUGUUGGGGAUUAAACAUGGUUGAAUUUAUUUUAGCCGUCCCCAACAAUUUAUCUUAUCCUUUAUUAAAUUGAACUGAACUCAUUUUGAGAUUACAUAAAAAAUAAUCUUUUAAUACAACUUUCAACAACGGAUCUCUUGGUUCUC